rnacentral:rRNA from 1 species
AUUGAACGCUGGCGGCAGGCCUAACACAUGCAAGUCGAGCGGGGUUUUCGGACCUAGCGGCGGACGGGUGAGUAAUGCGUAGGAAGCUGCCCGAUAGAGGGGGAUACCAGUUGGAAACGACUGUUAAUACCGCAUAAUGUCUACGGACCAAAGUGUGGGACCUUCGGGCCACAUGCUAUCGGAUGCGCCUACGUGGGAUUAGCUAGUUGGUGAGGUAAUGGCUCACCAAGGCGACGAUCUCUAGCUGGUUUGAGAGGAUGAUCAGCCACACUGGAACUGGGACACGGUCCAGACUCCUACGGGAGGCAGCAGUGGGGAAUAUUGGACAAUGGGCGCAAGCCUGAUCCAGCCAUGCCGCGUGUGUGAAGAAGGCCCUCGGGUUGUAAAGCACUUUCAGCGAGGAGGAAGGGUGGUGUGUUAAUAGCACAUCAUUUUGACGUUACUCGCAGAAGAAGCACCGGCUAACUCUGUGCCAGCAGCCGCAGUAAUAC